UACCUACGGGACGCAACAGUGGGAAUUUUGGACAAUGGGGGAAACCUGAUCCAGCCAUCCCGCGUGUGCGAUGAAGGCCUUCGGGUUGUAAAGCACUUUUGGCGAAGUGGCACGGGAUAAUACCCCGUGCAACUGACAGUACCUGCAGAAUAGCACCGGCUAACUACGUGCCAGCAGCCGCGGUAAUACGUAAGUGCAAGCGUUAAUCAGAUUACUGGGCGUAAAGCGUGCGCAGGCGGUUCGGAAAGAAGAUGUGAAAUCCCAGAGCUUAACUUUGGAACUGCAUUUUUAACUACCGAGCUAGAGUGUGUCAGAGGAGGUGGAAUUCCACGUGUAGCAGUGAAAUGCGUAGAUAUGCGGAGGAACACCGAUAGCGAGGCAGCCUCCUGGGAUAACACUGACGCUCAUGCACGAAAGCGUGGGGAGCAAACAGGAUUAGAUACCUGUUAGUCCACGCCCUAAACGAUGUCAACUAGCUGUUGGGGCCUUCGGGCCUUGGUAGCGCAGCUAACGCGUGAGAUUGACCGCCUGGGGAGUACGGUCGCAAGAUUAAAACUCAAGGAAUUGACGGGGACCCGCACAAGCGGUGGAUGAUGUGGAUUAAUUCGAUGCAACGCGAAAACCUUACCUACCCUUGACAUGUCUGGAAUCGAAGAGAUUUGGGAGUGCUCGCAAGAGAACCGGAACACAGGUGCUGCAUGGCUGUCGUCAGCUCGUGUCGUGAGAUGUUGGGUUAAGUCCUGGCAAGGCGCAACCCUUGUCAUUAGUUGCUACGAAAAGGGCACUCUAAUGAGACUGCCGGUGACAAACCGGAGGAAGGUGGGGAUGACGUCAAGUCCUCAUGGCCCUUAUGGGUAGACUUCACACGUCAUACAAUGGUCGGGACAGAGGGUCACGUAACCCGCGAGGGGGGUAAUCCAGAAACCCGAUCGUAGUCCGGAUCGCAGUCUGCAACUCGACUGCGUGAAGUCGGAAUCGCUAGUAAUCGCGGAUCAGCAUGUCGCGGUGAAUACGUUCCCGGGUCUUGUACACACCGCCCGUCACACCAUGGGAAUUGGGUUUCAGAAGUAGUUAGCCUAACCGUAAGGGCGAUUACCACGGUAGGAUUCAUGACUGGGGUGAAGUCGUAACAAAGGUAG
rnacentral:misc_RNA from 1 species